CAGGAGAUUGAGAGAGUGUUCCAUGAACUUAUCCUAUUACAGGAAGAGAAAGUGAGAUUCCAGUUGAAUUUGACAAUUCAAAUUCUUCUUAAACAAGGACAAGUAGAACUGGAAAAUUUCCAGCUAGUACUGGAGUAUUCUGAUGCAAUUCUCAUCAACAAGAGCAUAAUUGAAGAUUUGAAUUCUGUGAUUCGGACUCAAGGACAAAAGAAAGUUGCUAGCAUGAUGGAAAGUAAAGAUGUACACAAAAGAAUACUUCAGAUUGAGUGGGAACAUAAGAAAAUGGAGAUGGAAAGGGAAGAUCUAAAUCAGAAGGCUUGGGAUAUUCAGAUGCUAUUUUUUUCAAGAGAUCGUCAAAAGGUAAAUUCUCCCUACCCCCCUACAUAGUUUUAAUUUUAUUCAUUAAUGUAUUCAUUCAUUUAACCAGUAUUUAAUAAGAAGCCUCUGUGAUAUCAAGCAUAUUCUAAGCCAGGAGUGUUUCAAAAUAUAUCUGUGAGUUAUUUUUCUUCCAAUAGUUUACAUUUGC
rnacentral:sRNA from 1 species